rnacentral:rRNA from 1 species
CCUACGGGAGGCAGCAGUGAGGAAUAUUGGUCAAUGGACGAGAGUCUGAACCAGCCAAGCAGCGUGAAGGAUGACUGCCCUAUGGGUGGUAAACUUCUUUUAUAUGGGAAUAAAAUGUUCCACGUGUGGGAUUUUGUAUGUACCAUAUGAAUAAGGAUCGGCUAACUCCGUGCCAGUAGCCGCGGUAAUACGGAGGAUCCGAGCGUGUUCCGGAUUUAUUGGGUUUAAAGGGAGCGUAGGUGGAUUGUUAAGUCAGUUGUGAAAGUUUGCGGCUCAACCGUAAAAUUGCGGUUGAAACUGGCAGUCUUGAGUGAAGUAGAGGUGAGCGGAAUUCGAGGUGUAGCGGUGAAAUGCUUAGAUAUCACGAAGAACUCCGAUUGCGAAGGCAGCUCGCUGGACUGCAACUGACACUGAGGCUCGAAAGUGUGGGUAGCAAACAGGAUUAGAUACCCCAGUAGUC